rnacentral:rRNA from 1 species
UGGGGAAUAUUGCACAAUGGGCGCAAGCCUGCUGCAGCCAUGCCGCGUGUAUGAAGAAGGCCUUCGGGUUGUAAAGUACUUUCAGCGAGGAGGAAGGCGGUAAGGUUAAUAACCUUAUCGAUUGACGUUACUCGCAGAAGAAGCACCGGCUAACUCCGUGCCAGCAGCCGCGGUAAUACGGAGGGUGCAAGCGUUAAUCGGAAUUACUGGGCGUAAAGCGCACGCAGGCGGUCUGUCAAGUCGGAUGUGAAAUCCCCGGGCUCAACCUGGGAACUGCAUUCGAAACUGGCAGGCUAGAGUCUUGUAGAGGGGGGUAGAAUUCCAGGUGUAGCGGUGAAAUGCGUAGAGAUCUGGAGGAAUACCGGUGGCGAAGGCGGCCCCCUGGACAAAGACUGACGCUCAGGUGCGAAAGCGUGGGGAGCAAACA